UGCCAGCCGCCGCGGUAAUACGGAGGGCUCAAACGUUGUUCGGAAUCACUGGGCAUAAAGCGCACGUAGGCGGCCUAUCAAGUCAGAUGUGAAAGCCCCCGGCCCAACCGGGGAACUGCAUCUGAAACUGGUAGGCUCGAGGAUGGCAGGGGUGAGUGGAACUCCAGGUGGAACGGUGAAAUGUGUAGAUAUCUGGAGGAACACCAGUGGCGAAGGCGGCUCACUGGGCCGUCUCUGACGCUGAGGCGCGAAAGCUAGGGUAGCAAACGGGAUUAGAUA
rnacentral:rRNA from 1 species